AGUAGUCAAGACAAGCCACUAUGAUGAGAUCCUCACCUACAGAAAUGAGGACUUGGGGAAUGAACCUUUAGUUUUUCUUUUAAGAGUUUUUGACGAGGCAAAACAUUCUUACAUUUCAAAAACUGAAAGGUUCCAAAGGGUUCAUGAUGUAAGUGGUUUGCUCCACCAUAUAGUACUCUCCAUUGCCAUCUAACGCCCCCACCAGAGGCCCGUAUCCAUGGAAUCACUUGAUCUUGAACUAGAGCCUCCAGAACCAUGAGACAAACCUUUUCUCUUUAUAAGAUAUUGCCUCAGAAAAAUUGAUUCCUAGAACCAGAAGCUGGAAAAACUGAAGAUGCUCCAUUCCCAGUCACAAUGCACAUCUAAAAGAAGUUCUUCUUUGAAAGGAAGUAUUUUCAUUUGAAUAGGGGCAGAGGCUCCUGCAAAUGUUCAUUUAAAAUUUC